GAGGGACGGUAUUGUUCAACAGUCUUUCAUAUUCGAAACGCGGUAGUGUGGACGUUCUACGGGAUAGUUACCUAUGUAAACGUUACAAUUUUUAUGUUUAGCAAGUGUUUGUGCAAUUGAUAGACUAUUCCACAUGUGGAAAAUUUUCCCCUGAUGUACAUCGUGACACACAAAGAAGUUUAUUCCAGUGACACAGUUCUUCAUAAAUU